CCUACGGGUGACAGCAGUGAGGAAUAUUGGUCAAUGGACGCGAGCCUGAACCAGCCAUGUCGCGUGCAGGAAGACGGUCCUAUGAGUUGUAAACUUCUUUUGUACGAGGGUAAAACCCGAUACGUGUAUCGCGUCGAGAGUACCGGACGAAUAAGCAUCGGCUAACUCCGUGCCAGCAGCCGCGGUAAUACGGAGGAUUCAAGCGUUAUCCGGAUUUAUUGGGUUUAAAGGGUGCGUAGGCGGCUCGUUAAGUUAGCGGUGAAAUCCCGGGGCUCAACUCCGGCACUGCCUUUGAUACUGUCGUGCUAGAGUUUACUAGAGGUAGGCGGAAUGUAUGGUGUAGCGGUGAAAUGCAUAGAGAUCAUACAGAACACCGAUUGCGAAGGCAGCUUACC
rnacentral:rRNA from 1 species